UACGUAGGGGGCGAGCGUUGUCCGGAAUUACUGGGCGUAAAGAGAGCGUAGGCGGCACUACAAGUCUCAUGUGAAAUACCCGGGCUUAACUUGGGGGUUGCAUGGGAAACUGUAGAGCUUGAGUACAGGAGAGGCAAGCGGAAUUCCUAGUGUAGCGGUGAAAUGCAUAGAUAUUAGGAGGAACACCAGUGGCGAAGGCGGCUUGCUGGACUGAAACUGACGCUGAGGCUCGAAAGCGUGGGGAGCAAACCGG
rnacentral:rRNA from 1 species